UAUCUAUCAUGUCGUCAGUC
rnacentral:siRNA from 1 species